GGAUAACCUACCCUUAGGACUGGGAUAACCCUGGGAAACUGGGGAUAAUACUAGAUAGGCAAUUUUUCCUGGAAUGGUUUUUUGUUUAAAUGUUUUUUCGCCUAAGGAUGGGUCUGCGGCCGAUUAGGUAGUUGGUUAGGUAACGGCUUACCAAGCCAUUGAUCGGUACGGGUUGUGAGAGCAAGAGCCCGGAGAUGGAACCUGAGACAAGGUUCCAGGCCCUACGGGGUGCAGCAGGCGCGAAACCUCCGCAAUGUGAGAAAUCGCGACGGGGGGAUCCCAAGUGCCAUUCUUAACGGGAUGGCUUUUCAUUAGUGUAAAGAGCUUUUGGAAUAAGGGCUGGGCAAGACCGGUGCCAGCCGCCGCGGUAACACCGGCAGCUCUAGUGGUAGCAGUUUUUAUUGGGCCUAAAGCGUCCGUAGCCGGUUUAAUAAGUCUCUGGUGAAAUCCUGUAGCUUAACUGUGGGAAUUGCUGGAGAUACUAUUAGACUUGAGACCGGGAGAGGUUAGAGGUACUCCCAGGGUAGAGGUGAAAUUCUGUAAUCCUGGGAGGACCGCCUGUUGCGAAGGCGUCUAACUGGAACGGUUCUGACGGUGAG
rnacentral:rRNA from 1 species